AGAUAUAAUGUAAGGAAUAUGAAAUGUAAUGUAAUAUAAUAGAAUACAAAAUACCGAAAUUGAACUGAACGUAUACCAUAACCGUAAAGAUUAUCAUCCCAAUUACCCACUUCCCCGUCAAAGCAGACCAUAAGUCAAAUUGUAAAUAAUAAAUGAUAAAUGAUCAUAUCAGUGCAAAUGUAAGAAGGACCGAUUAUUGAAUGAGGUAUUAAGAUAAAUAACUAAAGCGAUAAACAAAUCAAACAUUAACUGCGUAGUUAAAAUAGAAACUAGAAAUAGAAAGUAGAAACUGAUCGCCAUAUGAGGUAUCAAGAAUAAAUAAAACAACAAAAUCAAAAUCAAAAUCAAAUCAAAUAUAAAGCACGUAUCUAAUUAAGCACCACAUCAUUGUAUAAUCGAACAAGUAAGCCUGAUAUUUAACAGUCAAACCAUUAUCCGUCAAUUGUAGAUAAAUUAAAUAGACACUUGCACAGAAAAACCAUUCAUCAUAAAAGAAAAAACAAUAAUCAAUCUACUGGCCUUGAUCAAUCAAGUAAAAUGAAUAAAUAAACAAUUAACAAUAUUAAAUACGAGCCAUCAAUUGAAGAGAUUAUGAAAUUAUAAAUUACAAAUUAAGAAAUUAAGAAAAAGAGAAAAUGUGGAAUGUAAAGUGCAAUCUGUAAAGUAUAGUAUAAGGUAUAAGGUAUAAUGUGUAAGCAAAAUAAUCAGCACAAUAUAUGUGAUAUAAAACAGAAUAAGAGAAUAAGAUAAAGUAAAGAUACAGUGGAGUGAAUUUCAAAAUUUCAAAAUUUCAAAAUAAUAUAACCAUAGAUAGUAUAACCAUAGAUAACCAUAGAUAACAUAAACCAUAGAAUAGACACUUUCAAAGAUGUCGGGUGACAGAAUUUACAGAAAUAUAACCUUAGCCCUAACCCUAAUGUGUCAAACAAGGAAUGUCAGCAAGAAACCAGAACAGUGUAAGAAGACUCAUUAAGAAAACGAACAAGAACAAGAUUACCAAUUAAGGAAGCCUGAUAGUCAACUCAGAAAAGGAAACAGGCAAGAAAAGCACACUUUCACCCUGUUAUGAAAGAACUACACAAUACCAAUACCAGACAGGGACAUCAUGAAUUAAUUGAAUUAAAGAAUAACCAAAAAGAAUCAAAAUAUCCAAGGAUAUAUAACAGGCGACAAAUCAAGAAGGCGACAAUGAAAUAAAUAAAAUAGUGAUAGACAGUGAUAGCGUGACACAAAUGAAUUAAAAUAUAAAAAAUAUAAGUAUAUUAAAUAUAGAAUAACCGCAUAAAAGUAAAUCAUAAAUAUGUUAAUAUAAUCUACAAAACUUUGUACCACCAUGAACAUACAAUUAGACUAAAUCAUAACAAUAGCUUCAAUUCAAUUUAAUUCAGAAGAAGAACAAAUGAGAGAAUGAAAGAAUGAAUGAAUGAACCACUGAUCAGUGAAGUUAUUAAUUCAAGAAAUUAAAUAAUGUAGUAAAUAGGAAAGCGUUAAGGAUAAAGUGAAAGCCGUGACCACCAUAAAUAAUAAAGUAACGCAGUGUGAUACAAUGCAAUGUGACGUCAUAUAACAUAAAAAAAAAGAAAUAUAAUGAAAUAGAAUACAAAAUUCAAGAAGUGGGCUCACUAAAAUAUAACUGUGAAGAUUAUUAAUGAAAUACUCUAUUCCUUUACACAAGUAAAUUAUAAGUUAAAUUGUGAGCGGUAUUUGGUGAAUGAUAAAUGGUCAUGUCAAUGCAAAUGCAAAUAGAACCGAUUAUUGCAUGACAUUUCAAAAAAGUGGGUAAAUAGCAAAUAAAUCAAAUCAAAUGUAGACUGCGUAGUUCAAUUAACGCUGUGCUACUGUAUAGCGUAGAGAUAAAUAAAUAACUCAACAAGUAGAGUAUUAAAAACUAACAUUUAAAAUGGUGAAUUAAACAGAAACCAUGCACCUUCAAAGCACUUGAAUAGACAAAACCAUUCAGCAUCACA